GUGAUUCAGUCGAUUUAAAAUACUGCUGAGCACACUGGUAGUUUUUUAAACUGGAAGGACUGAUUUUCAUGUUAACAGAAAUUCAACAUCAGCAGUAACACCGAAGUGCACAUUAUGGACGACACCGGGGCCGAAGUCGAUGAAGAUAAUCGUCAGUGAAGUGUUAGAUGAGACGUCGGACAUGAAAUGGAAAGUUAGUGAUGGUGCUGCACCUUCAGGAGCACUUUUGCGAGGGAAAAAGUAGCAUGGCACUUAAAAUCAACUCCGCACAAAAUAUUCUGGAGGAGCAGUGACAACCACGGAAGAGCCAGAGACAGUUGAGAAAGUAAGUGGCCAGGCACUGAACGAUCAUUUAACUUGCCUGAGGAUCAGCUAGAAGGUGACAACUGUAGAGAGGCUGUUCCCUUACUGAAACAUGCAACAGUUCGGGCCCAGGUCAUCUCAAAGAUGAGAUCAGCCUUCAAGUACAGGCCACAAUUAAUCCAUGAUGCAGAGAAGUCGACUAUGGCACUUGAAGUGUGUCCGUGGUUUCUGGAUGUGAAAGGCCUGGUAAGUUUAUCAUUCUAACACAUACCCUUUGAGACAUUUUACAUUUUAAUAUUUGACCCCACUUUUUUGUACUUUACUGUAUAUAUCUUUAUGUUAAGGUUGUCACUAUGUAUAUUUAAUAUUUCUUAGUGAUGCAUGAUUGAACAUAAUCUUGUCAUUGCCUUAAAACUGCAGUCCAAAAUUAUGUCUAGUACUUUUUUUUCCAAUACUGUGAGGUUCUUCGAGACUUUGAAUUGCUUUUUGGGUAUGGAGACUUCAUCCAAGCUUCUGGAGACAUGGGUCACAUUCUUCAAGACCAAACUCAUCAGAAAGCCAAAAACAUUACUCAGACUUAUUGCUGAGCUCACUUAUCCAGUCUGCCGAGAAUAUUCAUGAUCCGAGUGACAUGGCAUCAAUCCUGCUGCUUCGAUAUCUGUUUCCACCUCCACCAAACAGAGGGCUGUAAAGAAAAGUGUCCAUGAAGCUGUUGACCAUGUUGUCAAAUUUC